rnacentral:rRNA from 1 species
CCGCAGCCCGAGUGGUGAUCGUUAUUAUUGGGCCUAAAGCGUCCGUAGCCUGCUUGGUAAAUCCUUGGGUAAAUCGGGCAGCUUAACUGUCCGAAUUCCGGGGAGACUGCCAAGCUUGGGACCGGGAGAGGUCGGAGGUACUCCGGGGGUAGAGGUGAAAUUCUGUAAUCCUCGGGGGACCACCAGUGGCGAAGACGUCCGACUUGAACGGGUCCGACGGUGAGGGACGAAGCCCUGGGGCACAAACCGGAUUAGAUACCCGAGUAGUCC